UAGGGAAUCUUCGGCAAUGGGGGGAACCCUGACCGAGCAACGCCGCGUGAGUGAAGAAGGUUUUCGGAUCGUAAAGCUCUGUUGUUAAGGAAGAACGUGUGUGAGAGUGGAAAGUUCACACAGUGACGGUACUUAACCAGAAAGGGACGGCUAACUACGUGCCAGCAGCCGCGGUAAUACGUAGGUCCCGAGCGUUGUCCGGAUUUAUUGGGCGUAAAGCGAGCGCAGGCGGUUAGAUAAGUCUGAAGUGAAAGGCAGUGGCUCAACCAUUGUAGGCUUUGGAAACUGUUUAACUUGAGUGCAGAAGGGGAGAGUGGAAUUCCAUGUGUAGCGGUGAAAUGCGUAGAUAUAUGGAGGAACACCGGUGGCGAAAGCGGCUCUCUGGUCUGUAACUGACGCUGAGGCUCGAAAGCGUGGGGAGCGAACAGGAUUAGAUACCCUGGUAGUCCACGCCGUAACGAUGAGUGCUAGGUGUUAGGUCCUUUCCGGGACUUAGUGCCGCAGCUAACGCAUUAAGCACUCCGCCUGGGGAGUACGACCGCAAGGUUG
rnacentral:rRNA from 1 species